AAAAAAUGACAAUAAAACAGGCACAUAAUUAUAUUUUUUUGAUUCUUCUCCCAUUUUUCCAUUUUCUGUUUUAC
rnacentral:ribozyme from 13 species